rnacentral:rRNA from 1 species
CAGUAGCCGCGGGAAUACGAAGGGUGCAAGCGUUAAUCGGAAUUACUGGGCGUAAAGCGUGCGUAGGCGGUGAGUUAAGUCUGCUGUGAAAUCCCCGGGCUCAACCUGGGAAUUGCAGUGGAUACUGGGUCACUAGAGUGUGGUAGAGGAUAGUGGAAUUUCCGGUGUAGCAGUGAAAUGCGUAGAGAUCGGAAGGAACAUCUGUGGCGAAGGCGACUAUCUGGGCCAACACUGACACUGAGGCACGAAAGCGUGGGGAGCAAACAGGAUUAGAUACCCCAGUAGUCCCUGUCUCUUAUAA